UACGUAGGGUGCAAGCGUUAAUCGGAAUUACUGGGCGUAAAGCGUGCGCAGGCGGUGAUGUAAGACAGGUGUGAAAUCCCGGGGCUCAACCUCGGAACUGCAUUUGUGACUGCAUCGCUGGAGUGCGGCAGAGGGGGAUGGAAUUCCGCGUGUAGCAGUGAAAUGCGUAGAUAUGCGGAGGAACACCGAUGGCGAAGGCAAUCCCCUGGGCCUGCACUGACGCUCAUGCACGAAAGCGUGGGGAGCAAACAGG
rnacentral:rRNA from 1 species